rnacentral:lncRNA from 1 species
AAACUGUGAGAAGCAAGGCCCUGGCCCGUGUGCAGUGACACGGAUUCGGGUUAGCCUGGGGCUCUGACUCAUCCUAAGAGUGGGAAAGCAAUUUUCUAGAUGGUCCUUCUCAGAGAGAGGAACCUUAUGUUAUUUAAUUGUCUAAGGAAGGCCCCUAAGUCAUAAUGCACAUUCCAAAAUAUUAAAUUGAAACCAGGCCUGGCAAGAUGGCUCUGGAUAAAGGUGCUUGCUACUGAGCCUGACAGCCUGAGUUCAGUCCUCCGAGCCCAGUGGUGGCCGGAGAGAAGCAACUCCCAUAAGUUGUUAUUCAACCUUCACAUGCCCUGGAAUAUAUACAUACAGGAAACAUUCCUUAAAGAUUAAAAGGUAACUAACUUGAAUCACUUGAUGAUGGUUAGACUUUUUAAGAGUUGGUGUUUUUAACAAAAGCUCCUACAGCCUUUAUUUUGCUCAAGAAGUAAGUUAACAAGUGUUUGGUUUCUUAGGAUUUGUUCACUUUGUAAAUUUUAUUUCUGGCAUGUGAUAUUUUUUUUUAACGUUGUACCUCUGGAUAUGAUGAUUCUUUCCAAAACCUUCAGAAGGCAGGAAACUGGCAGUGUGGUAUGAUUAAUGAUGUUAUCAACUUAAGCAACAAGGCACAUUCCCACAAACACCCAAUCUUUGAUUUGUUUAUUACUGAAUAAAAGCCAUCUGACCACCG